rnacentral:snRNA from 1 species
GACCUUGAUCUUCUGAGAAG